rnacentral:rRNA from 1 species
CCUACGGGAGGCAGCAGUGAGGAAUAUUGGUCAAUGGGCGGGAGCCUGAACCAGCCAAGCCGCGUGAGGGAAGAAGGUACAGCGUAUCGUAAACCUCUUUUGUCAGGGAACAAAGGCGGGGACUAGUCCCCGGAUGAUGGUACCUGAAGAAAAAGCAUCGGCAAACCCCGCGGCAGCAGCCGCGGUACUACGGAGGAUGCGAGCGUUAUCCGGUUGUAGUGGGUUUAAGGGGUGCGCAGGCGGACUGUUAAGGCAGCGGUAAAAGGGCGGGGCUCAACCGCGGCGGGCCGGUGAAACUGGCGGGCUGGAGUUGGAGAGAGGUACGCGGAAUGCGCGGUGUAGCGGUGAAAUGCUUAGAUAU